GGGUUGUGAGGUUAAGCGACUAAGCGUACACGGUGGAUGCCUAGGCAGUCAGAGGCGAUGAAGGGCGUGCUAAUCUGCGAAAAGCGUCGGUAAGGUGAUAUGAACCGUUACAACCGACGAUACCCGAAUGGGGAAACCCAGUGUGUUUCGACACACUAUCAUCACAUGAAUACAUAGUGUGAUGAGGCGAACCGGGGGAACUGAAACAUCUCAGUACCCCGAGGAAAAGAAAUCAACCGAGAUUCCCCCAGUAGCGGCGAGCGAACGGGGAGGAGCCCAGAGUCUGCAUCAGCUUGUGUGUCAGUGGAAGCGUCUGGAAAGUCGCACAACAAAGGGUGAGAGUCCCGUACACGAAGAUGCACAGGUUGUGAGCUCGAUGAGUAGGGCGGGACACGAGAUAUCCUGUCUGAAGAUGGGGGGACCAUCCUCCAAGGCUAAAUACUCCUGACUGACCGAUAGUGAACCAGUACCGUGAGGGAAAGGCGAAAAGAACCCCGGCGAGGGGAGUGAAAUAGAACCUGAAACCGUGUACGUACAAGCAGUGGGAGCCUUGAUUAAUCAGGGUGACUGCGUACCUUUUGUAUAAUGGGUCAGCGACUUAUAUUCUGUAGCAAGGUUAACCGAAUAGGGGAGCCGCAGGGAAACCGAGUCUUAACUGGGCGUUAAGUUGCAGGGUAUAGACCCGAAACCCGGUGAUCUAGCCAUGGGCAGGUUGAAGGUUGGGUAACACUAACUGGAGGACCGAACCGACUAAUGUUGAAAAAUUAGCGGAUGACUUGUGGCUGGGGGUGAAAGGCCAAUCAAACCGGGAGAUAGCUGGUUCUCCCCGAAAGCUAUUUAGGUAGCGCCUCGUGAAUUCAUCUUCGGGGGUAGAGCACUGUUUCGACUAGGGGGUCAUCCCGACUUACCAACUCGAUGCAAACUGCGAAUACCGAAGAAUGUUAUCACGGGAGACACACGGCGGGUGCUAACGUCCGUCGUGAAGAGGGAAACAACCCAGACCGCCAGCUAAGGUCCCAAAGUCAUGGUUAAGUGGGAAACGAUGUGGGAAGGCCCAGACAGCCAGGAUGUUGGCUUAGAAGCAGCCAUCAUUUAAAGAAAGCGUAAUAGCUCACUGGUCGAGUCGGCCUGCGCGGAAGAUGUAACGGGGCUAAACCAUGCACCGAAGCUGCGGCAGCGAACGUAUCACCCAAGACAAUUUGGCAAUGUGGAAUGACGAUUGAUGGCGCGAAGCGACAUCAAUGCGUUUUACAAAGUCGAGUUGGCUUAGGGAUACGUUCGUUGGGUAGGGGAGCGUUCUGUAAGCCGUUGAAGGUGGCCUGUGAGGGCUGCUGGAGGUAUCAGAAGUGCGAAUGCUGACAUAAGUAACGAUAAUGCGGGUGAAAAACCCGCACGCCGGAAGACCAAGGGUUCCUGUCCAACGUUAAUCGGGGCAGGGUGAGUCGACCCCUAAGGCGAGGCCGAAAGGCGUAGUCGAUGGGAAACGGGUUAAUAUUCCCGUACUGGUUGUUACUGCGAAGGGGGGACGGAGAAAGCUAGGUUGGCCGGGCGACGGUUGUCCCGGUUUAAGCGUGCAGGUGGGUGUUUUUGGUAAAUCCGGAACACUGUUAACACUGAGGCGUGAUGACGAGUCACUACGGUGAUGAAGUAACCGAUGCUACGCUUCCAGGAAAAGCCUCUAAGCACCAGGUAACAAUCAAUCGUACCCCAAACCGACACAGGUGGUCAGGUAGAGAAUACUCAGGCGCUUGAGAGAACUCGGGUGAAGGAACUAGGCAAAAUGGUGCCGUAACUUCGGGAGAAGGCACGCUGGAUUUGGUGAAGUCCCUCGCGGACGGAGCUGAGACCAGUCGCAGAUACCAGCUGGCUGCAACUGUUUAAUAAAAACACAGCACUGUGCAAACACGAAAGUGGACGUAUACGGUGUGACGCCUGCCCGGUGCCGGAAGGUUAAUUGAUGGGGUAAGCCUUCGGGCGAAGCUCUUGAUCGAAGCCCCGGUAAACGGCGGCCGUAACUAUAACGGUCCUAAGGUAGCGAAAUUCCUUGUCGGGUAAGUUCCGACCUGCACGAAUGGCGUAAUGAUGGCCAGGCUGUCUCCACCCGAGACUCAGUGAAAUUGAACUCGCUGUGAAGAUGCAGUGUACCCGCGGCAAGACGGAAAGACCCCGUGAACCUUUACUAUAGCUUGACACUGAACCUUGAGCCUUGAUGUGUAGGAUAGGUGGGAGGCUUUGAAGUGUGGACGCCAGUCUGCAUGGAGCCAACCUUGAAAUACCACCCUUUAAUGUUUGAUGUUCUAACGUGGGCCCCUGAGCGGGGUUGCGGACAGUGUCUGGUGGGUAGUUUGACUGGGGCGGUCUCCUCCCAAAGAGUAACGGAGGAGCACGAAGGUUAGCUAAUCCUGGUCGGACAUCAGGAGGUUAGUGCAAAGGCAUAAGCUAGCUUGACUGCGAGAGUGACGGCUCGAGCAGGUGCGAAAGCAGGUCUUAGUGAUCCGGUGGUUCUGCAUGGAAGGGCCAUCGCUCAACGGAUAAAAGGUACUCCGGGGAUAACAGGCUGAUACCGCCCAAGAGUUCAUAUCGACGGCGGUGUUUGGCACCUCGAUGUCGGCUCAUCACAUCCUGGGGCUGAAGUAGGUCCCAAGGGUAUGGCUGUUCGCCAUUUAAAGUGGUACGCGAGCUGGGUUUAGAACGUCGUGAGACAGUUCGGUCCCUAUCUGCCGUGGGCGUUGGAAGAUUGAGAGGGGUUGCUCCUAGUACGAGAGGACCGGAGUGAACGCACCACUGGUGUACGGGUUGUGAUGCCAAUUGCAUUGCCCGGUAGCUAAGUGCGGAAGAGAUAACCGCUGAAAGCAUCUAAGCGGGAAACUUGCCUCGAGAUGAGUCUUCCCUGGGACUUCGAGUCCCCAGAAGGGCCGUUGAAGACGACGACGUAGAUAGGCCGGGUGUGUAAGCGCAGCGAUGCGUUGAGCUAACCGGUACUAAUGACCCGAGAGGCUUAACCUUACAACACCGAAGGUGUUUUAG
rnacentral:rRNA from 1 species